rnacentral:rRNA from 1 species
CGAACGCUGGCGGCGUGCUUAAUACAUGCAAGUCGAACGAGGGCCCAGAGCUUGCUCUGGUGACCCGAGUGGCGAACGGGUGAGUAACACGUGACCAACCUGUCUUCAGGCGGGGGACAACUUGGGGAAACCCGGGCUAAUACCGCAUGAUGCCUUUUCUUCGCAUGGAGAAAAGAUCAAAGGGGGCCUCUGCUUGCAAGCUCCCACCUGAUGAGGGGGUCGCGACGUAUCAGCUUGUUGGUGAGGUAACGGCUCACCAAGGCUACGACGCGUAGCGGGUCUGAGAGGACGAUCCGUCACAUUGGGACUGAGAUACGGCCCAGACUCCUACGGGAGGCAGCAGUAGGGAAUAUUGCGCAAUGGACGAAAGUCUGACGCAGCGACGCCGCGUGUGGGAGGAAGCCUUUCGGGGUGUAAACCACUGUCAGAGGGGAAGAAUCCCGAGUGUUUAAAUAGGACACUCGAAUGACGGUACCCUCAAAGGAAGCGCCGGCUAACUCC